rnacentral:rRNA from 1 species
UUUGACGACCAUAGCAUUGUGGACCCACCUGAUUCCAUGCCGAACUCAGAAGUGAAACACAAUAGCGCCGAUGGUAGUGUGGGG